CUGCUGUCCCGUAGCAAGGAGAGCCUGGAAGAAAAUGAGUCCCUUACAGGGACAAAAGGAAGUAUUUUGAGUGCUCAAAUCCUGUUCCAAUUUGUGUCCCUCUGAAGCCUGAGGAACUGCCCUGCCGCUCGGUGGCGUGCAGUUCAGAUUUGCUGGACCUAGGACCACAUUUGUGGUUUACAAUGGCUGCUUAGUGCUGCUCCACACUUGUCUUUAUAUCCCUCUGAAGAAGGACUCAUUAAGCUACUAUACAGAUGUCCAAUUACUCCAGCACCAUUUGUUGAAGAAGACUAUCUUUCCCCCAUUGAACUGCUUUUGCACCUUUGUCAAAAACAGAUGGGAAGAGUCGUGGCCACUCAAAAACUGCAACCUGUCUUUCCUAUUUCCCUUUGAACUCUACUGGCGCGUAAUACCUGUGGCAAUUCUGUGCUAUGGACUGGAUACUGCCUUGUAUAGAAGUUAUUCGUGAACACGAACGUAUGUCCCCUACUAGACUGUGAGCUCUUUGAGGGAUGAAAGCUUGUAUGAUUCUUCUUGGCUUCCUACAUAGGCCCUGGCAAAGCAUAUGGAGCAAAAUACAUCCACAAAGGACAUCUGAAGAAUUAACUCACGUGAUAGUCCAUCUAAGUAGUCUCUUAAUUGCCCAUCUUCAGGUAUUUAGGGAGCUAUUUUCCAGGACCAGCUCUUGAAACAGAGAUUGACUUAGCA
rnacentral:lncRNA from 1 species